GUUUUUGUAGUUGAUAACAACAAUGGUUUUUCAAGCCAUAGGUCCAGGUUAGAGUCCUGGCAAGAAUG
rnacentral:tRNA from 1 species